rnacentral:sRNA from 1 species
UUUUUUGUUUGAUUGUUUAGGGUUUAGGGUUUAGGGUUUAGGGUUUAGGAAAAAAAGACAUAUUAAAAAAACAUAU